UGGGGCAGCAUGACUGUAGCAAUACAGUUGAUGGCGACCGGCAAACGGGUGCGGAACACGUACACAACCUUCCUUUUAGUGGAGAAUAGCCCAGGGAAACUUGGAUUAAUACUCCGUAACAUAUAGAAGUGGCAUCACUUUUAUAUUAAAGCAGCAAUGCGCUAGAAGAUGGGUGUGCGGCUGAUUAGAUAGUUGGCGGGGUAACGGCCCACCAAGUCGACGAUCAGUAACUGGUGUGAGAGCACGACCAGUCACACGGGCACUGAGACACGGGCCCGACUCCUACGGGAGGCAGCAGUAAGGAAUAUUGGUCAAUGGACGCAAGUCUGAACCAGCCAUGCCGCGUGGAGGAUGAAGGUCCUCUGGAUUGUAAACUUCUUUUAUCUGGGAAGAAAUCCAUUUUUUCUAAAAUGGUUGACGGUACCAGAUGAAUAAGCACCGGCUAACUCCGUGCCAGCAGCCGCGGUAAUACGGAGGGUGCAAGCGUUAUCCGGAUUCACUGGGUUUAAAGGGUGCGUAGGUGGGCAAGUAAGUCAGUGGUGAAAUCUCCGGGCUUAACCCGGAAACUGCCAUUGAUACUAUUUGUCUUGAAUACUGUGGAGGUCAGCGGAAUAUGUCAUGUAGCGGUGAAAUGCUUAGAUAUGACAUAGAACACCAAUUGCGAAGGCAGCUGGCUACACAAAUAUUGACACUGAGGCACGAAAGCGUGGGGAUCAAACAGGAUUAGAUACCCUGGUAGUCCACGCCCUAAACUAUGGAUACUCGACAUUUGCGAUAAACCGCAAGUGUCUGAGC
rnacentral:rRNA from 1 species